AUCCUCGGACGGUGUCAGGGGGCUGCAGGGGGGCACUGUACUCAAGGAGCGGAAGGCAAAGAUGGAGGGAUCGUAGGUGUACCUGGGUGGAGGACGGCUGCCUGUCAGAUUCUGAGGACAGAGAGAGACGUCAUGGUAUCACUGCAGUAAACAGCGUUUUAGCUGGGUGCUGUUUGCAAAAGGAUCCUGACAAUGCUAUCAGAUUUUCAGACGUCUCAGGCAUUGCUCUGUUGCUAGCAGGGCAUGGGAACAAACGCUGUUGCCAGAUGCUGUCCCAGUAUGCAGUUGGAUGGACAUCAAGGUGCUGGCGACAAGACAGGCCGGGCUGUUCACGGGGGCUGAGCAACCUCGCAACCUCAUCACUGCUGUAAUGGACACCUUGAUCUGGAUUGCCAAUUAUGGGUCUGCAUAAAAGGAAAAGCUGUGUGUGUGUGUGUGUGUGUGUGUGUGUGUGUGUGUGUGUGUGUGUGUGGAAACUAAGUUGAAUAAAAAUGGCACUCACUCGAAUCUUUAUAGUCCGUGUUUUCCCUCCACAGUUCUUUUUCAGCAGCAUUUUCUGUGGAGAACAAGAAUGCACAAUGACGGCCAUGGAAGAGCAUACAGUUCUCAAC